rnacentral:rRNA from 1 species
GGUAUGCGGAAUUCUGUGUGUAGGGGUAAAAUCCGUAGAUACACAGAGGAACACCAAAAGCGAAGGCAGCAUACUGGGUAGUUACUGACGCUCAGGAACGAAAGCGUGGGGAGCGAACGGGAUUAGAUACCCCGGUAGUCCACGCCGUAAACGAUGGAUACUAGAUGUUGGAGGACUCGACCCCUUCAGUGUCAAAGCUAACGCAUUAAGUAUCCCGCCUGGGGAGUACGGUCGCAAGAUUAAAACUCAAAGGAAUAGACGGGGACCCACACAAGCGGUGGAGCAUGUGGUUUAAUUCGACGAUAAGCGAGGAACCUUACCUAGACUUGACAUCCCGGGAAUUUUCCAGAAAUGGAAAAGUGCCGCAAGGAACCCGGUGACAGGUGCUGCAUGGUUGUCGUCAGCUCGUGCCUUGAGGUGUUCGGUUAAGUCCGUGAACGAGCGCAACCCAUGUCUUGUGUUGUAUUUUCACAAGAGACUGCCGGCUUUAAGUCGGAGGAAGGUAUGGACGACGUCAAAUCAGCAUGGCCCUUAUGUCUAGGGCUACACACGUGCUACAAUGGCUGGUACAAUGGGCAGCAAACCCGUAAGGGGGAGCCAAUCCCUAAAACCAGUCUCAGUUCGAAUUGAGGGCUGCAACUCGCCCUCACGAAGUUGGAAUCGCUAGUAACCGCGGAUCAGCAAUGGCGCGGUGAAUAUGUUCCUGGGUCUUGUACUCACCGCCCGUCACAUCACGAAAGAUGGGGGCAUCCGAAGUAUCGUUAGCUUACGGGCGCGGUCCUAAGGUGAAAUCAUUGAUUGGGAUGAAGUCGUAACAAGGUA